rnacentral:rRNA from 1 species
UACGUAGGGGGCAAGCGUUGUCCGGAAUUAUUGGGCGUAAAGCGCGCGCAGGCGGUUAUUUAAGUUGGGUGUUUAAUCCCGGGGCUCAACCUCGGGUCGCACCCAAAACUGGGUAACUUGAGUGCAGAAGAGGAGAGUGGAAUUCCACGUGUAGCGGUGAAAUGCGUAGAUAUGUGGAGGAACACCAGUGGCGAAGGCGACUCUCUGGGCUGUAACUGACGCUGAGGCGCGAAAGCGUGGGGAGCAAACAGG